GACGAACGCUGGCGGCGUGCUUAACACAUGCAAGUCGAACGGAAAGGCCCUGCUUUUGUGGGGUGCUCGAGUGGCGAACGGGUGAGUAACACGUGAGUAACCUGCCCUUGACUUUGGGAUAACUUCAGGAAACUGGGGCUAAUACCGGAUAGGAGCUCCUGCUGCAUGGUGGGGGUUGGAAAGUUUCGGCGGUUGGGGAUGGACUCGCGGCUUAUCAGCUUGUUGGUGGGGUAGUGGCUUACCAAGGCUUUGACGGGUAGCCGGCCUGAGAGGGUGACCGGCCACCUUGGGCCUGGGAUACGGCCCAGACUCCUACGGGAGGCAGCAGUGGGGAAUAUUGCACAAUGGGCGGAAGCCUGAUGCAGCAACGCCGCGUGCGGGAUGACGGCCUUCGGGUUGUAAACCGCUUUCGCCUGUGACGAAGCGUGAGUGACGGUAAUGGGUAAAGAAGCACCGGCUAACUACGUG
rnacentral:rRNA from 1 species